rnacentral:misc_RNA from 1 species
UUUCCGUAGGUGAACCUGCGGAAGGAUCAUUAUUGUAUAACCGAGGUGCGAGGGCUGUCGCUGACCCGACAUGUCGUGAACGCCCGAGUGCCCUCACACACAUCCAUCUCACCCCUAUGUGCACCACCGCGUGGGUCCCCCUUUGGCUUGUUCGGAGGGGGGCUUACGUUUUCACACAAACUUUGUAUGCAGUGUAGAAUGUAUUUUUUGUUUUUGCGAUCACGCAAUCAAUACAACUUUCAACAACGGAUCUCUUGGCUCUC